rnacentral:siRNA from 1 species
UAAAUGAUUGAUCUUAAGCACG